rnacentral:misc_RNA from 1 species
GAUGAAGAACGUAGCGAAAUGCGAUAAGUAAUGUGAAUUGCAGAAUUCAGUGAAUCAUCGAAUCUUUGAACGCACAUUGCGCCCGCCAGUAUUCUGGCGGGCAUGCCUGUUCGAGCGUCAUUUCAACCAUCAAGCCCCAGGCUUGUGUUGGGGACCUGCGGCUGCCGCAGGCCCUGAAAACCAGUGGCGGGCUCGCUGUCACACCGGGCGUAGUAGAUUUUAUCUCGCUCAGGGCGUGCUGCGGGUUCCGGCCGUUAAAAAGCCUUUUUUACCCAAGGUUGACCUCGGUUCAGGUAGGAAUACCCGCUGAACUUAAGCAUAUCAAUAAGCGGAGGA